rnacentral:lncRNA from 1 species
CGGCCGCAGCAGCUCAGCUCCCAUUCCCAGGCAGCCUGGAAAAGGGACUUUGGCAAAUAACUGGAGCGGCGUUCGGGUUAGGUGCUGAGGCCUUCAGUCCGGGACUGAGCUCCACCGCCAGCGAUCUCUGAGUAUCCAGCUCUCAGACUGCUGUGGGAAGCGACUACCGUGGGAAGUCUCUGUUGCUGCUACUCUACUCUGUCUGCUCAACCCCGAGAAGUGAUGGACAUUCUGCACAGAGGAGAAUUGGUUGCUGCAAUACUCCGCAACCGAUCACUUGUGGAAGAGGAAGACCAGCACUUGAAACUGUGCCUUGGAAGUGAAAUGGGCCUCUCUUCCCAUUUGCAGUCUUGCAAGGCAGGAAGUACACGCAUCUUUACCAGCAACAGCCACAGUUCUGUGGUGUUACAGGGAUUUGACCAGCUUCGGCUUGAUGGAUUGCUUUGUGACGUGACAC